CCCCUUCGGGGGCAAAGUGACAGGUGGUGCAUGGUUGUCGUCAGCUCGUGUCGUGAGAUGUUGGGUUAAGUCCCGCAACGAGCGCAACCCUUAUUGUUAGUUGCCAUCAUUUAGUUGGGCACUCUAGCGAGACUGCCGGUGACAAACCGGAGGAAGGUGGGGAUGACGUCAAAUCAUCAUGCCCCUUAUGACCUGGGCUACACACGUGCUACAAUGGGAAGUACAACGAGUUGCGAAGUCGCGAGGCUAAGCUAAUCUCUUAAAGCUUCUCUCAGUUCGGAUUGUAGGCUGCAACUCGCCUACAUGAAGCCGGAAUCGCUAGUAAUCGCGGAUCAGCACGCCGCGGUGAAUACGUUCCCGGGCCUUGUACACACCGCCCGUCACACCACGAGAGUUUGUAACACCCGAAGUCGGUGAGGUAACCUUUUUGGAGCCAGCCGCCUAAGGUGGGAUAGAUGAUUGGGGUGAAGUCGUAACAAGGUAGCCGUAUCGGAA
rnacentral:rRNA from 1 species